rnacentral:rRNA from 1 species
GAUCAUGGCUCAGGACGAACGCUGGCGGCGCGCCUAACACAUGCAAGUCGAACGAGCGAGAGAGAGCUUGCUUUCUCAAGCGAGUGGCGAACGGGUGAGUAACGCGUGAGGAACCUGCCUCAAAGAGGGGGACAACAGUUGGAAACGACUGCUAAUACCGCAUAAGCCCACGGUGCCGCAUGGCACAGAGGGAAAAGGAGCAAUCCGCUCUGAGAUGGCCUCGCGUCCGA